rnacentral:tRNA from 7 species
GGUAAAAUGGCUGAUAAAAGCAUUAGACUGUAAAUCUAAGAAUGUGGGUUAAAAUCCCCCUUUUACCA